GUUGAAACACCGGUUUCCGUACGAUCACCGAAGUUAAACAACGUCUAGCAUGGUCAGUCCCUAGAUGAGUAACCGCUUGGGAAUAUCAGGU